AGUGAACGCUGGCGGUAGGCCUAACACAUGCAAGUCGAACGGCAGCACAGUAAGAGCUUGCUCUUACGGGUGGCGAGUGGCGGACGGGUGAGGAAUACAUCGGAAUCUACUUUUUCGUGGGGGAUAACGUAGGGAACCUUACGCUAAUACCGCAUACGACCUACGGGUGAAAGCAGGGGAUCUUCGGACCUUGCGCGAUUGAAUGAGCCGAUGUCGGAUUAGCUUGUUGGCGGGGUAAAGGCCACCAAGGCGACGAUCCGUAGCUGGUCUGAGAGGAUGAUCAGCCACACUGGAACUGAGACACGGUCCAGACUCCUACGGGAGGCAGCAGUGGGGAAUAUUGGACAAUGGGCGCAAGCCUGAUCCAGCCAUACCGCGUGGGUGAAGAAGGCCUUCGGGUUGUAAAGCCCUUUUGUUGGGAAAGAAAAGCAGCAGGUUAAUACCCCGCUGUUCUGACGGUACCCAAAGAAUAAGCACCGGCUAACUUCGUG
rnacentral:rRNA from 1 species